rnacentral:rRNA from 1 species
GAUGAACGCUGGCGGCGUGCCUAAUACAUGCAAGUCGAGCGAACAGACGAGGAGCUUGCUCCUCUGACGUUAGCGGCGGACGGGUGAGUAACACGUGGAUAACCUACCUAUAAGACUGGGAUAACUUCGGGAAACCGGAGCUAAUACCGGAUAAUAUAUUGAACCGCAUGGUUCAAUAGUGAAAGACGGUUUUGCUGUCACUUAUAGAUGGAUCCGCGCCGCAUUAGCUAGUUGGUAAGGUAACGGCUUACCAAGGCAACGAUGCGUAGCCGACCUGAGAGGGUGAUCGGCCACACUGGAACUGGGACACGGUCCAGCCUCCUACGGGAGGCAGCAGUAGGGAAUCUUCCGCAAUGGGCGAAAGCCUGACGGAGCAACGCCGCGUGAGUGAUGAAGGUCUUCGGAUCGUAAAACUCUGUUAUUAGGGAAGAACAAAUGUGUAAGUAACUAUGCACGUCUUGACGGUACCUAAUCAGAAAGCCACGGCUAACUACGUG